rnacentral:rRNA from 1 species
GUAGGGAAUAUUGGGCAAUGGACGAGAGUCUGACCCAGCCAUGCCGCGUGCCGGAUGAAGGCCUUCUGGGUUGUAAACGGCUUUUCUCAGGGAAGAAAAAGGGUAUGCGUACCACACUGACGGUACCUGAGGAAUAAGCACCGGCUAACUCCGUGCCAGCAGCCGCGGUAAUACGGAGGGUGCAAGCGUUGUCCGGAUUUAUUGGGUUUAAAGGGUGCGUAGGUGGUUUGAUAAGUCCGGGGUGAAAGCCCGUCGCUCAACGACGGAACUGCCCUGGAUACUGUCAGACUUGAGGGUAGACGAGGUUGGCGGAAUAGAAGGUGUAGCGGUGAAAUGCAUAGAUACCUUCUAGAACCCCGAUUGCGUAGGCAGCUGACUAGGCUACACCUGACACUGAGGCACGAAAGCGUGGGGAGCGAACAGGAUUAGAUACCCCAGUAGUCC